rnacentral:rRNA from 1 species
UGCGUAGGUGGUUUAUUAAGUUAUCUGUGAAAUUCCUGGGCUUAACCUAGGGUGGUCAGAUGAUACUGGUAGACUGGAGUAUAGGAGAGGGCAGUGGAAUUUCCGGUGUAGCGGUGAAAUGCGUAGAGAUCGGAAGGAACACCAGCGGCGAAGGCGGCUGCCUGGCCUAAUACUGACACUGAGGCACGAAAGCGUGGGGAGCAAACA